AUUGAACGCUGGCGGCAGGCCUAACACAUGCAAGUCGAACGAGUGGCGGACGUGUGAGUAAUGUCUGGGAAACUGCCUGAUGGAGGGGGAUAACUACUGGAAACGGUAGCUAAUACCCCAUACCAUCAGAUGUUCCCAGAUGGGAUUAGCUAGUUUGUGGGGUAACGGCUCACCAAGGCGACGAUCCCUAGCUGGUCUCAGAGGAUGAACAGCAACACUGGAAUUGAGAAAAGGUCCAGACUACUACGGGAGGCAGCAGUGGGGAAUAUUGCACAAUGGGGGAAAGCCUGAUGGAGACAUGCAGCGUGAAUGAAGAAGGUCUUCGGGUUGUAAAGUACUUUCAGCGGGGAGGCGUUACCCGAAGAAGAAGCACCGGCUAACUACGUGCCAGCAGCCGCGGUAAUUC
rnacentral:rRNA from 1 species